UACGGAGGAUCCUAGCGUUAUCCGGAUUUACUGGGUUUAAAGGGUGCGUAGGCGGGCGCUUAAGUCCGCGGUGAAAGUCUGCGGCUCAACCGUAGGAUUGCCGUGGAUACUGGGCGUCUUGGAUUCGGUCGGGGCGGGCGGAAUGCGUGGUGUAGCGGUGAAAUGCAUAGAUAUCACGCAGAACGCCGAUAGCGAAGGCAGCUCGCCGGGCCGACAUCGACGCUGAGGCACGAAAGCGUGGGGAUCAAACAGG
rnacentral:rRNA from 1 species